rnacentral:rRNA from 1 species
ACGCUCGACACCUACGGGAGCAGCAGUGGGGAAUAUUGCACAAUGGGGGAAACCCUGAUGCAGCGACGCCGCGUGAGCGAAGAAGUAUUUCGGUAUGUAAAGCUCUAUCAGCAGGAAAGAAGAAAGACGGUACCUGACUAAGAAGCCCCGGCUAACUACGUGUCAGCAGCCGCGGUAAUCUGAGCGGGCUGGCAAGGC